UAACUUUAAAUAGAGAACAGUUAAUGACUGCUGUCUAACAUUUAUUGAAUAAGUGGAGCUUAGACAAAUAUAAACAUGGUGAUUAGAAUACUAGGGGUAUUGAAGGUUUUUCUGCUGAAUGUACUGAUAUGUGUUGCUAUUUACAGCCCAGAAGAUGAAGUGACAAAACCACCAAAACGUUGGGUUGGUUUACCAUGGCCUGUGCGUGUAGACAAGAAUAGUCGCCAUGCAUCUGGUUUAAUUAUUGGUGAGGAAUAUAUUCCACCUACCUUGGACUACAGUAGCAAAAAUAUCAUGGGUCGAAUGUUUUCAAGUGAUGAUGGAAUUGAACACAUGAAACUAACUCCAGGACAGUUGAUUACUAGUGAGCCAACCAGACAGCAUAGUAACUGGGAUAUUGUGCCAGAUCCAAGUAGUGAUGGUGGUUUCAGAUUAGUUGAGUCAUCAUCAGGAAACAUAAAUCCAGCACACAUCACCCAGCAAGGAUCAAGUUCAAGUCUUGUGUAUGAGAAUGGGAAUGCUUAUGAAGAAAAUGUUAAAGGAAAUAAUCAUGAAGAAUCAUCAGAUAUUCCUGGAGCAGGAGUGACUAGUGGUGCUGUUACUUCAGGUGUAGCCUUGGCACAUGGCUUACAGUGGCCUUCAAAAAAUGUUGUGGGUAGUGGAAUGUUGAGUGCUGCAGUUGUUGGUACUGGUCUUCUUGUUGGUAGUGAAUAUCAUAGACCUUCAGCAAGUGUUUUGGGCAAGGGGGUGAACAGUGGUGGUAGUGGUUCUUCAACCAAGGACAAUCAACCUUCACCUCACAUGAACUGGGAUGUUUUCCCAAGCAGUCAGCUGCAGACUCAUUCUCAGCUUGUUUCUGAAGGGAGUGGUAGUUUUGGAACUCAGAAACAAAAAAUACAAUCAUCCAAAAUUGGUUGGGAACUUCCUUCAGCUCACCAGUCGCAGUCUGAUUUUUUUCCAGCUGCGCACUGGCAUGUUGCUUCAAUUUCUGUAGACCCCAUUCAGAAGUUGCCAUCAGUUGCUACUGGGGUAUUCUCUGCAGCUGGCCAGUAUCUGUCGUCUCCAUCCAUGGGUUCAACAGUAGAGAAAGCUGUGAUGUCAGGCUCAACUUAUGAUGCUACCAAGUGCCCUCAUGGAGCUACUGGCCAGUUUGUGUAUCGUCCUGACUGUAGACAGUUUCUGAACUGCUGGAAAGGACGGGGCCUUGUCCAGUUCUGUGCUCCAGGGACUCUCUUCAACCCUUACUCUCUGGAGUGUGACUUCCCAAACAAGGUUAAAUGUUUGCAGUUUUCACUAGAUGAAGAAAGUGCGAACAACAUAAUUAUGGGCAAUUCGGACGAGAGACAUAUUGAGAGGGACAGUCGAUUGGUGGAGUCUGCAGUAUCCACAAGGCACCCUAAAACACAGACACCAUCACCUGUGCCAGUGAACAUAAGAAAGGCAGACUGCCCUAUGGAGGGAGGAACAGGGCUUGCUCCCCAUCCCACAGACUGCAGUAAGUUCCUGAACUGCUGGAUGGGCACAGGUCAUACCCAGCAGUGUGGACCAGGGACCUUGUUCAACCCUCAGACUUUACAGUGCGACUUUCCAUACAGAGUGAACUGCAUUGUAUCAACUUCAGGUUUGAAGGACGAGAGACAUAUUGAGAGGGACAGUCGAUUGGUGGAGUCUGCAGUAUCCACAAGGCACCCUAAAACACAGACACCAUCACCUGUGCCAGUGAACAUAAGAAAGGCAGACUGCCCUAUGGAGGGAGGAACAGGGCUUGCCCCCCAUCCCACAGACUGCAGUAAGUUCCUGAGCUGCUGGAAGGGCACGGGUCAUACCCAGCAGUGUGGACCAGGGACCUUGUUCAACCCUCAGACUUUACAAUGCGACUUUCCAUACAGCGUGAACUGCAUUGUAUCACCUUCAGGUUUGAAGGAGAGUGCCCCCAGAAAGUUUUCACCAAACAAGCCAUAUCAACCCCCACAGCAACUAAAACCUACCAUUCAACCAACAAGACCUCCAACCAUGACUUCACCCACAACUAGAACUACUACUACUACUGCUGCUACUACUCCUGCUAAUACAACCCCUGCCCCAUUGAAACCAGCCCACAAUGUUUCAUUGCUUGUGAAUCCAAGCGGUCAAGUUUUAAGGCUUCGAGGAGGGCCAGGACCAUGGGAAGGCUAUGUUGAAGUUCAGGGUCCAAGUCCUGGAUGGGGUCUUGUUUGUGAUAAGAGAAAUUCCUGGAGCAUUGUAGAGGCUACAGUUGUGUGUCAACAGCUGGGAUAUGAAAGGGGUGCGGAGUUAGCAUGGCAGGGUCGACCAUUGCAGCCCACAGAAGACACACUACGAGUGAGUGUAAAUGAAGUAUCAUGUGGUGGAAACGAGACUACUUUCUCUGCAUGCCAGCUGGAACCUGGACAGCAGUGUGUGAUAGCUAGAGAUGCGGUUGGUGUCCGUUGCUACAAGAACUGGGCUUCUCAGUGCCGUCCUGGUGAAGUAAAUCAUGGCGAGAGAUGCUAUAAUUUGGUGGUUCCUAGUGUACGCCAUGCUGUUGAAGGCUUCAGUCAUGGAGAGGCGCUUAGAGACUGCCAGUCCAAAGGAUCACAACUCCUUGACAUUACUUCCCAGGAAGAGAGUGACUUCAUAUCUGAAUGGCUGCUGCAGAUUCAGCCAAACAUAACAAACAUUCUUACUGCAGGUGUAGGUGUGUCUGUAUUUCAGCGUCCAUUGUGGGUUUGGGAAGGGUCUCUUGCACCAUUCAAAUUUACCAAAUGGUGGUCAGGUUGGACAAACAACCUGAGGAGCCCACCUAAAACAGGGGAUAGGCCAAUCUGUAUUGUCGCCAAGCGUGUCUUCCCAUGUGAACAUGCUUACUACACGAGUGAUGGCAUCAGUGAUGUUGGCAUUGACUCACAUGAACAUCAGAGAGUCAGAAUGUGUGCUGCAAAUUAUUUCUACUGGGACACUGAAGACUGUAGCAUCACACACAGCCAUCCUUACGUCUGUGAGAGACCACUUGAUGAUAUUGGUUGUGUGAAUGUAGAAAAGUACAAUUACCAGGGUUCUGCUAAUGUGACAGCUAGUGGCUUGCCCUGUUUACACUGGGACGACCCUCUAAUCAUUCCAAAGCUCAGCUACAGGGUGUCAGAGAGGGAGAGGAAUACGACUCUCACUGGUCACAAUUACUGUCGAAAUGUAGGAGGUGAAUCACAGCCAUGGUGCUUUGCAGGGAAACAGAGGAAUCGGCAACCAUGUGCCAUCCCAUCUUGCUGGAACAAAGGCAUUGAGAAAGUAUUUACAGUGACUGCACGUGGGUGCAGACAAGGAGAGUUUAAGUGUCGAUCUGGAGAAUGUAUCACAGACAGGUGGAAAUGUGAUGGCAAGAAGGAUUGUUCUAAUGGUCUUGAUGAGCGUGAUUGUGGAGGCAUUUUUGAAAAUGUUUCUAAACAUUCGAACCAUCGUCUGGAGCAUCAUGAUAGAGAGAAAUGGCUGCAGACAGAUGCUGGUACCUGUUCUCAGCAUUGUCAUGAAGCAAAGGAGUUUAUCUGUAGAUCCUUCAGUCAUCAGAAGCAAGACUCAGUGUGUCUUCUGAGUGAUAGUAAUAUUGGAUUGUCAGGCAGUCUAGUGGCAGAAGAUGGUUGGGACUAUUAUGAGGUGAAAUCGCUGUCAGUCAAGUGUGAUGACAAGUUCCACUGUGAUAAUGGAAAGUGUAUCAACAUAAGCCUGGUAUGUAAUGGCAAGAACAACUGUGGAGAUAGGUCAGAUGAGAAGAAUUGCUCUGCUGCAUAUCUUGAUUACAGUAUUCGGCUGGCAGGAAGUAACAUUUCCCAUGAGGGUCGUGUAGAAGUCAAAGUGUUUGGUCAAUGGGGUCUAAUAUGUGAUGAUUUAUUUGGGCUGCGAGAUGCUGAAGUUGUCUGCAGAGAACUGGGAUUUCCAUUGGGGGCAGCAAAAAUAUUGCCACCUGGAUCAUAUAUUAACCGUGACCACACAGAAGAUGCAAUAUUUCUGGUGGAUGACCUGAUGUGUCUCGGCAAUGAAAGUUCUAUCCUGGAGUGUGAAUUUGAAGGCUGGGGAGUGCACGAUUGCCUUCGUGAGGAAGCUGUAAGUGUGAUGUGCAGCGUGCCAGAUCAGAUAUGUGCUUCUGGCUUCUGGAAGUGUGAAAGCACCAUGGAGUGUGUUCCAAUUGCAUACCUCUGUGACAACAUAGAUGAUUGUGAUGAUGCAAGUGAUGAAGAUCCCACUUGGUGUAACUCACCAAUAGAGCUGCGACUGGUGGGUGGAACAAACAACAUGGAAGGGCGUGUGGAAGUGCGGUACCAUGGAAUAUGGGGGACUGUUUGUGAUGAUGACUUCACAGUUCCUGCUGCUACAGUCAUCUGUCGUUCACUGGGAUUUGGUGGUCCAGCACAGGCCAAGAAGGAUGGCUUUUUUGGCCCUGGAGAAGGUCAGAUCUGGUUGGACCAGUUACAUUGUACAGGCAACGAGACAGGAAUAACAGAGUGCCUGCAUUCUUAUUGGGGUGAGCACAACUGUCAACACAGUGAGGAUGCAGCAGUUAUCUGCAUGCCCGGAGACAUUCGUCAGUCACUGAACCCACAUGAGAUGGAUGCUGAAUCUCGUACAAGUGAUGUUCUGCUAGUCAACAACAUUCUUCCAUCUGAUUGUGGCAAAAGAAGCGUAGACUACAUGAAACUGGCUGAUGACCAGAAGGCUCGUGUUGUGGGGGGCUACGAGGUGCUAAAGGGAAGCUAUCCAUGGCAGGCAAGUGUGAGGGUGAGAACGGGAGGGAAGUCUGUACAUUGGUGUGGAGCAGUAGUGAUCUCACCUCUCCAUAUUCUCACUGCUGGACACUGUAUGCAAGACUACACCAAGGGUGCCUACUUUAUCAGGGUUGGAGAUCAUGACACAGAGGAAGUUGAAGGAACAGAACAAGAAUUGAACAUUGAUGAGAUAUACUUGCAUGAGGAGUUCAACAAGGGCAUGCGUCUAAACAAUGACAUUGCUUUGGUAAAAAUGAAGGGGUUGGGGAUCCGGUUAGGUCCGGAGAUCAUGCCUGCCUGUUUACCACAUCAUGGUAUCCAGUACGCACCAGGUCUCAACUGUACCAUAUCAGGCUGGGGCUCAAUGAAAGCAGCUGGUUCAGGCUAUUCCCGUCAUCUGAGGGCCACUUGGAUCCCCUUGCUGCCCCAUGAAACAUGUAAGGCCAGCUUUGUGUAUGGCACAAAAGCAGUAGGAGAGGGGAUGUUUUGUGCUGGUAUGCUGGAAGGCGGAGUGGACUCCUGUCAAGGGGACUCAGGAGGACCUCUUAUCUGUCUCAUUAAUGGUGAAUUUACAUUAUAUGGAAUCACAAGUUGGGGUCAUGGCUGUGGAAGACCAAACAAACCUGGUGUGUAUUCCAGUGUCAGCUUCUACAGAGACUGGAUUGAUAAUAAGCUGGAAGACUCCAUGUCAGGACACUAGCAGGGUUUUGUCUUUUGAUUUAUGCACGUACUUCAGUACCUAAUCAGGUAUUAUCCUCAAUGUUCAUUAACAUUUAUUUACUUUACAUUGUACUGGACACCAACAUAACUGAAGAGUUAAAACCACUUCAUAGCGGAGGUUAAAAGUUUUUAAAAUUAUUAUAGAUCUUAUUCUGCAGUUGGAGAUCUUUCACUGGCUUUCAGCUUUUAGGAUGAAAGUGAAGGUCUCGUGUCAACAUGGAGGUAAUGGAUGGAACUUGUUUUUGUUUGUGGAACUGCUUCACAUUGCUGUCUGAUUCCAACUGUGUGACACGCCGGGUUGUCCUUGUUAGUAUCUGUAGCAAAUUAUCAGUUGAAUUUAGCUCCUUGCAGAGAGACUGGAUGAACCAAGUUCCUGUGUCCAGAUUACGAAAUGAAUAGAAGCCUGUGAAAUUAAGAAAUAUGUCUCAUUGCCAUGAUAAUGAUCAUUGGGUUGAAACAGAGGAAAUAUGCAGGAUCUGAGGUUUUCAAAGUGAUGUGAAUUUGUAUGUAGGUGUCUUCUGGGUUGUUACUUGUUGUAUUUUGUCUGCAUGCCUAUUGUGCUUUAGAAUUGCUUUGUAGCUCGUAGUGAUUUACUGUAAACGUUUUUAUUUAAUUAUACUGUACCUUCCAUAGUGCUAUAUGCAAUUAGAAAAUCAGCAUGAGUUGGGAUCUUGUAUGGGGAUGGGCUGGAAUCAAACUCUGUCCGUGUACCUCUUUGUUGUUUCAUCUUGAUUCCUGCAUCCAGCUCCCUUCCCCGACAUGCCUGAAAUAUAAAAUUAUUUCACAGCUGAUUUUGCAAAGAAGUAUACUUAAUAUCUCACAAAGUCACUGAACAUGUUUAAGACACAUUCAGUCCUCAGUUUAGUUAUUUUUGUCUUAUAACUUCAGUUGAUUGGUAUGUUUGAUAGUUUUUAACAGCUGAUGCAUAUAAGGUGUCAUGUAGAAGUAGGCUAUAUUACUGACGCUUCAGAGACUUUUCUGCGUCUUCAAGUCUAAGUAACUAGUCUGAUGUCUCUCCCAGUACUGGUACUUGUAGUACAGGUCCACAGGUCAGUGAGACAAACUUAUAAAUGGCUGGAUGGGGGAUGAAUGAGUAGGAUGUCUGGAACAUUGGGAAACCUGAGUGGAGGGUGCAACUAGGGGCAAAAUAGGGAUACUGUUAUAUUAGCGAAACAGCCCCAUUACAACAACAGCCAUUUGUGAAUCCACCUACAUCAGAACUUCAGUAGGAAAGAAUGACUUUUCUUUGGGUCAUCAUGAAUAUGUAUUCGAAAGACCUAAGUAACUUUUUUCUUAAGAUGGCUGUCUUGCUGCCCAACAACCCAGAAGACAGCUAUCUUCAGACUCACUGCCUUGAAAACCUCAAAUCCUACAACUUUUUUAUUCUGGUCUAUGGGAAUAUAUUAUACUCAUAAGAUUAUCAUACUAAAUGAACAAUGUCAGUAUUUCAGUACAGUAGAAAAAUCUGUGCAAAAAGUGGUCCAUUUUGGUAGUAUAGAAAUAAAUGGCUGUGCCUGUAUGAAGAAAAGUUUGGGCUUUCCAGCCAAUGUAGGACACUUGUCAGCUGUAAAAGGUUUCCAGAGUAUAUCCACACUGUAGAAUAUGCUGCUGUCUCGAGGUACAAGAAGUCCAUUCUCUUCUCCAUGUGUCAGUACUAUCACUGCUAUGCAGUCAGCAUCUGAGUGGUCUUCCUCAGCCACUAGAACAAAAUUAGAAUAUUAUAAUCUUUUUAUUAUUUUUUUGGUUUCCAAUUUAUUUUCUUGCUUAUUUUUGAAAAUCUGAAGGCUUUUGUAUUAUUUACUGAUGGAUGCUUCUUGUGAACAUGGUGAUGAACCUUAAAGUUCCAUAAAAAGUAGAGAAUUUCUUGACUAACAGUGUGUGUUGUUAGCUUUUUAGGAAGGACUCAGGAUAUACAGUGAAACAUCGAUACAUCGUAUUUUACGAUGAAUAAGGGAAACCUACAGUUGCGGGAAAUAAUUAAAAUGAAAAAUAAUAUAAUGCAUUUUUCUCUUUGGCAUACAUAAAACAAUACACAUAAAACUUAUUUCAAAGUUACUUCUUUUUGCCCAAGAAGCAUUUAAUGGACAUCUGUUUUGUCGAAACUUUGAGUUGAGUUUUAGUUGAAACAGGGCCCUUUCUAUGUUAAAAAUGUUUUCUUUAUCACCUUUACAAAUAUUGUGCUCAUAGAAGAAUUCACUUUUGCACCAAUUCAGCACGUGCUUCGGCAAAACUCGGAUAUACUUCGGGCUCACAUUCGUCGUCUUCCGCUUCCGCCCCUUUCGCGAAUGUCACACGAGCCAUAGAUGGUGUCGAACGUGCACGUGGCAAUCUCGCUGUGCGUCUUUCGAUAUUAAUUUAUAUUUUAAAUUCGAAGAACAUUGCGUAAAUUUCGUUAUAAUUUCUCAGAAACGAUCAGUGCGGGAAAAUUGUUGGCCAGGACUAAGGUUUUCGAACGAGUGAUACGAUAAAACGACAGUAGUUCGGGGAACGAUGGAUGGAGGUUUCACUGUCUAUCACCAAGGAUUUACACAACGGGAAUAUAUAUUUUACGGAGACAUGACAAGGCAGUUUUGCUCAGCUCCUUGGUACUACUACACUUACCAAAACAACUGUAUGGUACUAGAAUGCCCAAGAUUACCUGCUCCCCCACCGUAAUUGCCUCAGCUUCCAGUCUGGACAGUACUCGAUUAGUUUUCCAUCAUUUUUCAGUAGAAGACCUCCAGUGGGUAAGUGGUAACAAAGUGCAUCUGCUGGCAGGGUUAUAUAAAACUCAUAUCCCAACUCCUGGCAGGAACUGCCUGACCUGCCACAGAAUUUGUUUAGAACAGAAUUUAUUUAUAAUUUCAAGGUGCCUGUUGUGCUUAGAACAAUGAUUCUGGGACAUUUAUGGCAACACUGUUCAACAGUAUAUGAAACCAUAUCCACACACUGCAAUAUCCAGUACUUAACACGAUCUUGGAUAACGCUGCACUGUUGUAUGAAUAAUUGUAGUGGCAGGUGCUGUUAGUGUUUUGAAAUUAGUCUUCCAGCUCUUGCCUCCUGGGAUAAGAGCAUUGCAUGUGACUGUGGCAAUAAAUGCACUGUAGAAGGGGAUUGGUUUGUACUAAAUAAAGCUGUGACUUUGGUCAUGUGUUGUCGUUUUCAAGAAACUUUUAGUGAAGGUUUUACUUAUUAUUAUUAUUAUUGGCCAUCUGGCUGUUGAUACAGCACACAAAUAAUAAAGAAUUGAAUUGAA